rnacentral:rRNA from 1 species
UACGUAGGGUGCGAGCGUUAAUCGGAAUUACUGGGCGUAAAGCGUGCGCAGGCGGUUCGUUGUGUCGGUGGUGAGAGCCCCGGGCUUAACCUGGGGAUGGCCAUGGAAACUGGCGAACUGGAGUGUGGCAGAGGGGGGUGGAAUUCCGCGUGUAGCAGUGAAAUGCGUAGAGAUGCGGAGGAACACCGAUGGCGAAGGCAGCCCCCUGGGCUAGCACUGACGCUCAGGCACGAAAGCGUGGGGAGCAAACAGG